GCACAAGCGGUGGAUGAUGUGGAUUAAUUCGAUGCAACGCGAAAACCUUACUACCCUUGACAUGUCCGGAAUCCCGAAGAGAUUUGGGAGUGCUCGCAAGAGAGCCGGAACACAGGUGCUGCAUGGCUGUCGUCAGCUCGUGUCGUGAGAUGUUGGGUUAAGUCCCGCAACGAGCGCAACCCUUGUCAUUAGUUGCCAUCAUUUGGUUGGGCACUCUAAUGAGACUGCCGGUGACAAACCGGAGGAAGGUGGGGAUGACGUCAAGUCCUCAUGGCCCUUAUGGGUAGGGCUUCACACGUCAUACAAUGGUCGGUACAGAGGGUUGCCAACCCGCGAGGGGGAGCUAAUCCCACAAAGCCGAUCGUAGUCCGGAUCGCAGUCUGCAACUCGACUGCGUGAAGUCGGAAUCGCUAGUAAUCGUGGAUCAGAAUGUCACGGUGAAUACGUUCCCGGGUCUU
rnacentral:rRNA from 1 species